GACGAACGCUGGCGGCGUGCUUAACACAUGCAAGUCGAACGGAAAGGCGCGGAUCUUGCGGGGUGGACGAGAGGCGCACGGGGGAGUAAAACGUGAGUAACCUGCCCUUGACUUAGGGAUAACUUCAGGAAAAUGGGGAGAAUACAGGGUAGGAGCUACUGCUGCAUGGGGGGGGUUGGAAAGAUUCGGCGGUUGGGGAUGGACUAGCGGCUUAUGAGCUGGUUGGUGGGGUAGUGGCUUACAAAGGCUUUGAAGGGUAGCCGGCCUGGGAGGGUGACCGGCCACCAUGCGCCUGCGGUACGCCCCAGUCUCCUACCGUACGCAGCGGUCGGAAACAUUGCGGAGUGGGCGCAAGCCUGUUGCAGCGACCUCCCGUUCGUGAUGACGUCCUUCUGGUUGUAAACCGCUUUCGCCUGUGACGUAGCCUGCGUGACGGUAAUGGGUAAAGAAGCACCGGCUAACUACGUG
rnacentral:rRNA from 1 species